rnacentral:rRNA from 1 species
AAACCAACAGGGAUUGCCUCAGUAACGGCGAGUGAAGCGGCAAAAGCUCAAAUUUGAAAUCUAGUACCUUCGGUGCUCGAGUUGUAAUUUGAAGAUGGUAACUUUGGAGUUGGCCCUUGUCUAUGUUCCUUGGAACAGGACGUCACAGAGGGUGAGAAUCCCGUCUGACGAGGUGAUCCAACUCUAUGUAAAGUGCUAUCGAAGAGUCGAGUUGUUUGGGAAUGCAGCUCUAAGUGGGUGGUAAAUUCCAUCUAAAGCUAAAUAUUGGCGAGAGACCGAUAGCGAACAAGUACAGUGAUGGAAAGAUGAAAAGAACUUUGAAAAGAGAGUGAAAAAGUACGUGAAAUUGUUGAAAGGGAAGGGUAUUAGAUCAGACUUGGCGUUUUAUGAUUAUCUUCCCUUCUUGGGUUGUGCACUCGUAUUGCGCUGGGCCAGCAUCGAUUCGGAUGGCAGGAUAAUGGCAAUUGAAUGUGGCAUCCACUUCGGUGUAUGUGUUAUAGCUUUUGUUGAUGCUGCCUAUCUGGAUCGAGGACUGCGUCUUNUGACUAGGAUGUUGGCGUAAUGAUCUAAUAUCGC